CAGCCGCCGCGGGAAAACGUAGGUGGCAAGCGUUGUCCGGAAUUAUUGGGCGUAAAGGGCUCGCAGGCGGUUUCUUAAGUCUGAUGUGAAAGCCCCCGGCUCAACCGGGGAGGGUCAUUGGAAACUGGGAAACUUGAGUGCAGAAGAGGAGAGUGGAAUUCCACGUGUAGCGGUGAAAUGCGUAGAGAUGUGGAGGAACACCAGUGGCGAAGGCGACUCUCUGGUCUGUAACUGACGCUGAGGGGCGAAAGCGUGGGGAGCGAACAGGAUUAGAUACCCCCGUAGUCCCUGUCUCUUAUAC
rnacentral:rRNA from 1 species